GACGAACGCUGGCGGCGUGCUUAACACAUGCAAGUCGAACGGAAAGGCCCUGCUUUUGUGGGGUGCUCGAGUGGCGAACGGGUGAGUAACACGUGAGUAACCUGCCCUUGACUUUGGGAUAACUUCAGGAAACUGGGGCUAAUACCGGAUAGGAGCUCCUGCUGCAUGGUGGGGGUUGGAAAGUUUCGGCGGUUGGGGAUGGACUCGCGGCUUAUCAGCUUGUUGGUGGGGUAGUGGCUUACCAAGGCUUUGACGUGUAGCCGGCCUGAGAGGGUGACCGGCCACAUUGGGACUGAGAUACGGCCCAGACUCCUACGGGAGGCAGCAGUGGGGAAUAUUGCACAAUGGGCGGAAGCCUGAUGCAGCAACGCCGCGUGCGGGAUGACGGCCUUCGGGUUGUAAACCGCUUUCGCCUGUGACGAAGCGUGAGUGACGGUAAUGGGUAAAGAAGCACCGGCUAACUGCGUG
rnacentral:rRNA from 1 species